GCGUUGACCAGCCUCGUGCCAUUUAUUGGGAAAUAAUUCAUGAGUACUAUCAUUUGCACAAGGAAUUUGAUAAUGACCGCAACUGCAAUUGUCUCGCUCACCGUUGGGGUAUUAUCCUAGAAAUGGUCAACAAAUUCCGUGGAUGGUAUGGUCAUGUUCAAAGAAGGGCCCAAAGCGGAACGACGGAGCAAGAUAAAGUACUGCAAACUUGUGACGUGUUCAAAAACGAGGAAGAGAAAUCAUUCACUUUGCUGCAUCGUUGGAAUAUCUUGAAGCAUAAACAGAAAUAGCAUGAGGCAUGUGCUAAUAAGAACAGGAUAUUGUGUGUGCGCUAUGUGUAAUGCUGAAAGGAUGAGUUCGUCGUCAUCAUCUGACGACGACGAGGAGUCCAAGCGAGACAAAGAACUCAUUUCAGUAGGAGAGGGAAGAAUGAUUUGGUGUGGGAA